AAGGUGCCGGGGUUUCGCCCGUUUUUUUUGAGCGGGCGAAG
rnacentral:tRNA from 1 species